AGCAGCCGCGGUAAUUCCAGCUCCAAUAGCGUAUAUUAAAGUUGUUGCAGUUAAAAAGCUCGUAGUUGAAUUUCGGAAUCAGAUUGUCGGUCGUGCCUCGGUACGCACUGGCAUUAUUGGUUCCUACCUUCUGAAGAACCGCGAUGUCAUUAAUUUGGUGUCGUGGGGAAUCAGGACUGUUACUUUGAAAAAAUUAGAGUGUUUAAAGCAGGCGCACGCUUGAAUACAUUAGCAUGGAAUAAUGAAAUAGGACGUUUGAUUCUAUUUUGUUGGUUUCUAGGAUCGACGUAAUGAUUAAUAGGGAUAGUUGGGGGCAUUAGUAUUCAAUUGUCAGAGGUGAAAUUCUUGGAUUUAUUGAAGACUAACUACUGCGAAAGCAUUUGCCAAGGAUGUUUUCAUUAAUCAAGAACGAAAGUUAGGGGAUCGAAGACGAUCAGAUACCGUCGUAGU
rnacentral:rRNA from 1 species